GCCCUUAUAGCUCAGUGGUAGAGCGCUGCACUGUAAGUCUGACCAAUCAGAUCCAAGUGUUUCUUUGAUCACGUGACUAAUCUUCCUAGCGUAGUGUAAUGCAGAGGUCCAUCGUUCGAACCGGUGUGGGGGCA
rnacentral:tRNA from 1 species